CAAGCCUCGUUACCAGUUGGAAGCUUGUUCCAUAAAGUAGAUGGCUCUGUUCUCUGCUCUAAUGAGGAUCAGAGUGGAGGAGUAACCCCUUCUGAAAGGAAGGAAGGGGCAAUCUGCUUACGUAUCAUAUUCCUGGCUGCCUUCCAAUGGAACAGGACAGGAUAUAUAUGAGCACGUCACAACAAAGCACUCUGCCCAUCCAUAAGGAUGGAGGAAGAAGAACCAGAGAAGGUAGAAGAAAGAAAGGGCUGGGAAAUGAGAGAUACAAACUGAAUUGAUAAGUAAAACUGGAAAUAACUUCACCAGAUGGAGAUGUGCAUUGGCUAAUCCUUGAUCUGGAUGGAGGACAGUGCAGUGACCUCAUGUUGUGCCAACCUGUAAGCAGAGGCUGGGCAAGGUUUGACCUUCAAAGCAGAACACUGAUAUAUCUUCACUUGGCAGCUGUGUGUCAUCUGUUGGAAGAUGUCCCUAAUGGGCCCUAAGGGAAAUAGCCAACAUGGAAGCAGGCCUGAAAAUCCAGGACCUCAUUUCAGCAUCACAGCAAGGGCUGGACUUGUGCAGGCUGGGGAGCACUGCCUUGGAAGCCCACACUGGUCCAGGAGGGCUGGCACACUGGACAAGGGAUCCCUAAGGCAUAUGACCCAGGCUGUUUUAUUCCUCACAAAAAUGAAUGUGCCAUGAAUGCCCCAUUGCAAAUCCCCAUAAAAGACGCAGAAUGUCUUAAAAAUCCAGUCAACAAACCCACACAAGUCUUGAUGGAAAUGCAUCCCAGUCAGACAGGUCUGGAUCCCAUAACUAUAAAGGUGUUUUAUUUCCUGGAAUUCUUACAUCAAAGGGUGGAUUUUCAAGACAAAUAGCUGCUAUUUUCAUUUCUCUGGAGAAAUCAUAUGAUGUGAUUGACAAUUAAGAUCAGAAAAAGAUUUGAUGGGCAAAAGAUCAGGAAAUAAAUCUCGCCACACCACUAAAUCCAGGGCUGUUAUCAAAAGUUAUUCAUCCACGCUCAGCACUGUGAGGAUCACAGGAAUUUGGGACCUAAUUUAAGGAUGUUUUUUCAGUAACACUAACAGAAGAUUGAGGAAAUUGGGCUCAGUUUUACCUGCUACAAAGCUCCAUUAGUGCUAGAGUGAAGGAACAGAUAUUGAGCCAGAUUCUCUGAAGAUGGCACAAUGCAGACAUGAGCUUGCAAACAUCCCUUCGACAUUUUAACCCUUUGGGGCCAAGAGUUUUUCCCAACGAAUGAAUUAACACCAUUGUCUUCCUCCACUCAGAUUUUUCAGUGGAUGGAAUUGUUAAAAAAAGAAGGCAUUAUUGGCAGUGACACAUGCUGGGACAUAUGGCUGCUACAUGGGAUAUGCCUGGGGAUGUAGAAAGCAGGUAGGGGUGAAGGGUGAUAUUUGUCACAGCCAUCCCCAAACAUCAGGAGGGUUAUCAGGCCUACACUUCUUACAGCUGGGCCUCAUCUCCA
ensembl:lncRNA